ACUCCUACGGGAGGCAGCAGUGGGGAAUCUUGCACAAUGGGCGAAAGCCUGAUGCAGMGACGCCGCGUGCGGGAUGACGGCCCUCGGGUUGUAAACCGCUUUCAGCAGGGACGAAAUUGACGGUACCUGCAGAAGAAGCCCCGGCCAACUACGUGCCAGCAGCCGCGGUAAUACGUAGGGGGCAAGCGUUGUCCGGAUUUAUUGGGCGUAAAGAGCUCGUAGGCGGUUCGGUAAGUCGGAUGUGAAAUCUCCACGCUCAACGUGGAGGGGCCAUUCGGUACUGCCGUGACUGGAGUCCGGUAGAGGAGUGUGGAAUUCCCGGUGUAGCGGUGAAAUGCGCAGAGAUCGGGAGGAACACCCGUAGCGAAGGCGACACUCUGGGCCGGUACUGACGCUGAGGAGCAAAAGCGUGGGGAGCGAACAGGAUUAGAUACCCUGGUAGUCCACGCCGUAAACGUUGGGCACUAGGUGUGGGGCGCUAUCGACGCGUUCCGUGCCGUAGCUAACGCAUUAAGUGCCCCGCCUGGGGAGUACGGCCGCAAGGCUAAAACUCAAAGGAAUUGACGG
rnacentral:rRNA from 1 species